AGUCACUGACAUUAGAUACCCGUGUAGUCCAGGGUGUAAACGCUGCAGACUUGGUGUUGGAAGCCCUUUGGGGGCAUUCAGUGCCGGAGAGAAGUUGUUAAGUCUGCUACUUGGGGAGUACGUCCGCAAGGAUGAAACUUAAAGGAAUUGGCGGGGAGCACCACAACGGGUGGAGCCUGCGGUUUAAUUGGACUCAACGCCGGAAAUCUCACCGGAUAGGACAGACAUAUGAUAGUCGGGCUGAAGACUCUACUUGAUGAUCUG
rnacentral:rRNA from 1 species